GUGCCAGCCGCCGCGGUAAUACGUAGGGUGCGAGCGUUGUCCGGAAUUACUGGGCGUAAAGAGCUCGUAGGUGGUUUGUCACGUCGUCUGUGAAAUUCCGGGGCUUAACUCCGGGCGUGCAGGCGAUACGGGCAUAACUUGAGUACUGUAGGGGUAACUGGAAUUCCUGGUGUAGCGGUGAAAUGCGCAGAUAUCAGGAGGAACACCGAUGGCGAAGGCAGGUUACUGGGCAGUUACUGACGCUGAGGAGCGAAAGCAUGGGUAGCGAACAGGAUUAGAAACCCGUGUAGUCC
rnacentral:rRNA from 1 species